GCCCGUGUCAGUGAAGAGACUGAAACCCCCAGGCCUGUGGUCAGGAGAAAGCACCAGAGCUUGAAGUAUUCUUGAACUGAAGUCAGAGGGACACUUAAAAAGGUGGAUGUGAUGUCCCUCAGGAGCAGAUCAGAAUUUCAACGAUCCUCUCCUUCCCCU